ACCAAUCAACCUACAUCCACUAAACAAACUUACAAUUGGGCUUCAAAAUUAUCAUCGGUGAGUGAUGAUUGUACAUCACCAUCUUCAUAUGGUAUCAAUGGGACUCAAACUUCCCUAUUUGUUGCUCAUUUCGUUUUCCAGACCAAAUGAAGAAAGAAGAAUUGAUGGCAAAUUGAUGGCGCUUCACUUGGAUUUGUAGUCAGACGACUAAGAGUGUGGUUCAUGUCUUGAAGGUUUUUUGGGGGGGGGGGGUGGGGGUGGGGGUUGGUUUCAAAAAUUGCUCAUAUUUUGUGAGGACAAAAAUGCAUCUCAUGUGGAUUAAGUUUAGAGCAUCUCUAAGACAUGAGGUAAGUUUAUUGGGUUGCGAUGACAAAAUUGCGGGUUUGUGUGUGUCUAAGUUGUUUUCUCACAGAUUCUGACGAGUCCAUCAAUCAUCAAUGGUUUCACUCAACUUUUUUCAUCC
rnacentral:lncRNA from 1 species